UAAGGCUUUAGCUUAAUUAAAGUGUCUGUUUGCAUACAGUAGAUGUGGGUUAAUCUCCUGCAAGUCUUAUC
rnacentral:tRNA from 1 species